rnacentral:rRNA from 1 species
AAUGAUUCCCCCAGUAGUGGCGAGCGAACGGGGAACAGCCCAAACCAGUGGCGUCGCAAGGCGUGGCUGGGGUUGUAGGACCGCGACAUUGUAUUGAAAUGGUGAGUGGAAGUAUCUGGAAAGUUACAUCACAGAAGGUGAUAAUCCUGUACACGAAGCCAAAUCAAGCAUAGCGGUAUCCUGAGUAACGCGGGACACGAGGAAUCCUGCGCGAAUCUGCCGGGACCAUCCGGUAAGGCUAAAUACUCCCGUGAGACCGAUAGCGAACGAGUACUGUGAAGGAAAGGUGAAAAGAACCCCGAGCAGGGGAGUGAAAUAGUUCCUGAAACCAUGCGCCUACAAGCGGUCGGAGCAUCUUACGAUGUGACGGCGUGCCUUUUGCAUAAUGAUCCUACGAGUUACCGUCACUGGCGAGGUUGAGUGUCACGAGACACGUAGCCGCAGUGAAAGCGAGCCUGAACAGGGCGCACAGUCAGUGGGGGUAGACGCGAAACCAAGUGAUCUACACUUGGCCAGGAUGAAGUCCCGGUAACACGGGAUGGAGGUCCGCACCAAUAAGCGUUGAAAAGCUUCUGGAUGAGCCGAGUGUAGGAGUGAAAGGCCAAUCAAACUUGGAGAUAGCUCGUACUCCCCGAAAGGCAUUUAGGUGCCGCGUCGGAUGGUCACCGUGAGAGGUAGAGCGACCGAUAGGACAAGAGGGCUUCACCGCCUAUCGAGUCCUGACGAACUCCGAAUGCUCACGGUCUGCAGUCCGGCAGUAAGGGGGCGGGUGCUAAGGUCCGUCCCCGAGAGGAGAAGAAUCCAGACCGCCGUCUAAGGUCCCGGAGUUCUGCCUGAGUUAGUCUAACGAAGUCUGGUCCCUAUGACAGCUAGGAUGUUGGCUUGGAAGCAGCCAUUCAUUCAAAGAGUGCGUAACAGCUCACUAGUCGAGGGUCCGGGCAUGGAUAAUAAUCGGGUAUAAGGCAGACACCGAAGGCGCGGGAUAGCA